rnacentral:lncRNA from 1 species
ACAAUCCAUGGGGUUGCAAAGAGGUGGACACGACUGAGCGACUUUUGCUUUCUCUUUCAGGCCCGAUCUCAGACCCACAGAGUCAGAAUCUGAAUUGUAACAGGACUCUCAGGUGAAGCAUAUGCACGUUUAAGUCUGAGAAACACUGUUCUAAAUAUCCUGUUGAAUAAUAUGUUGAAGAGCACAGAGUCACAGAAAAUGAAGUUUUGUUUCUGGUUUUAUUUUAUAAAAAUGAAGUUUUAUUUAUUUAUUUCUAACUACAGAUUCAUUUCACUGGUCUGUUCAUUGAUCAACAUGACACAUAGUGAUCGAUGCCCGUGGGAGCAGGAAAGCAAAAUAACUGAGAUAUCCAAUGCCAUGAAUAAAGCCAACUGAUGUUAUCAUGCUGCUGCAGGGGCAGUAAGAAAGCUGAACGCACUUGCAGUAGCUUCCCUGACGUUGCUUAGUGAAGAAACCCUGUGCUCUGUAGCCUGGCAUCCUACAUAAUCAAGUUCUCUGCCCUCCUGCCAGAUGUGACUCCCCUAAAAUGGCAGGCUGCUUCCACUAGGAUGGCUCUCCUCCUCCUCCUAAUGACCCUCGGCCUCUUUUUGAUUAUGUGCUCUUGCAUUUCUGGUUUUCUCUUCUCAGUCUGUUUUGUUGUUGUUCAGUCGCUCAGUCCUGUCCGACUUUUUUGCAACCCCAUGGACUGCAGCACACCAGGCCUCCCUGUCCAUUGCUAACUCCCAGAGUUUACUCAAACUCAUGUCCAUUGAGUCAGUGAUGCCAUCCAGCCAUCUCAUCCUCUGUUUUCCCCUUCUCCUCCUGCCCUCAAUCUUUCCCAGCAUCAGGGUCUUUUCCAGUGAGUCAGUUCUUUGCAUCAUGUGGCCAAAGUUUUGAAGCUUCAGCUUCAGCAUCCGUCCUUCCAAUGAAUGUUCAGGGUUGAUUUCCUUUAUGAUGGACUGGUUGGAUCUCCUUGCAGUCCAAGGGACUCUCAAGAGUCUUCUCCAACACCACAGUUCAAAAGCAUCAAUUCUUUGGUGCUCAGACUCCUUUAUGGUCCAACUCUCACAUCCGUACAUGACUACUGGAG